AGCAGCCGCGGUAAUUCCAGCUCCAAUAGCGUAUAUUAAAGUUGUUGCAGUUAAAAAGCUCGUAGUUGAAUUUCGGGGUCAGUAGGUUGGUCGUGCCUAUGGUAUGUACUGGCUUUACUGAUUCCUCCUUCUUGAAGAACUGUAAUGUCAUUAAUUUGGUGUUGCAGGGAAACAGGACUGUUACUUUGAAAAAAUUAGAGUGUUUAAAGCAGGCUAACGCUUGAAUACAUUAGCAUGGAAUAAUGAAAUAGGACGUUAAUCCUAUUUUGUUGGUUUCUAGGAUCGACGUAAUGAUUAAUAGGGAUAGUUGGGGGCAUUAGUAUUCAAUUGUCAGAGGUGAAAUUCUUGGAUUUAUUGAAGACUAACUACUGCGAAAGCAUUUGCCAAGGAUGUUUUCAUUAAUCAAGAACGAAAGUUAGGGGAUCGAAGWCGAUCAGAUACCGUCGUAGUCUUAACCAUAAACUAUGCCGACUAGGGAUCGGAUGAUGUUAUUUUUAAUGACUCA
rnacentral:rRNA from 1 species